rnacentral:piRNA from 1 species
UGAUCAUGGUGAAUAUUGGUUUGGAUGUG